CUUUGGAAGAUUUUUCACAGGAUAUGGAAUUGGAGUUAUCUCAUAUGUGGUUCCUAUAUAUAUAGCUGAAAUAGCACCAAAGAAUCUUCGAGGUGGACUUGCAACAACAAAUCAGCUUAUGAUUGUUAUUGGAGCUUCAGUCUCAUUCUUAAUAGGAAGUGUCAUAACUUGGAGACAACUAGCUCUAGCAGG